rnacentral:rRNA from 1 species
UUUCCCCCCGUCGACUACAUAUCAAUAAGCGGAGGAAAAGAAACCAACAGGGAUUGCCCUAGUAACGGCGAGUGAAGCGGCAACAGCUCAAAUUUGAAAUCUGGCUCUUUUAGAGUCCGAGUUGUAAUUUGCAGAGGGCGCUUUGGCUUUGGCAGCGGUCCAAGUUCCUUGGAACAGGACGUCACAGAGGGUGAGAAUCCCGUACGUGGUCGCUGGCUAUUGCCGUGUAAAGCCCCUUCGACGAGUCGAGUUGUUUGGGAAUGCAGCUCUAAAUGGGAGGUACAUUUCUUCUAAAGCUAAAUAUUGGCCAGAGACCGAUAGCGCACAAGUAGAGUGAUCGAAAGAUGAAAAGCACUUUGGAAAGAGAGUCAAACAGCACGUGAAAUUGUUAAAAGGGAAGCGCUUGCAGCCAGACUUGCUUACAGUUGCUCAUCCGGGCUUUUGCCCGGUGCACUCUUCUGUAGGCAGGCCAGCAUCAGUUUGGGCGGUAGGAUAAAGGUCUCUGUCACGUACCUCCUUUCGGGGAGGCCUUAUAGGGGAGACGACAUACUACCAGCCUGGACUGAGGUCCGCGCAUCUGCUAGGAUGCUGGCGUAAUGGCUGUAAGCGGCCCGUCUUGAAACACGGACCAAGGAGUCUAACAUCUAUGCGAGUGUUUGGGUGUCAAGCCCGAGCGCGUAAUGAAAGUGAACGGAGGUGGGAACCCGCAAGGGUGCACCAUCGACCGAUCCUGAUGUCUUCGGAAGGAUUUGAGUAAGAGCAUGGCUGUUGGGACCCGAAAGAUGGUGAACUAUGCUUGAAUAGGGUGAAGCCAGAGGAAACUCUGGUGGAGGCUCGCAGCGGUUCUGACGUGCAAAUCGAUCGUCAAAUUUGGGCAUAGGGCGAAAGACUAAUCGACUUCUAUUGCGC